ensembl:rRNA 5S_rRNA 5S ribosomal RNA
AUCUACAGCCAUGCUACCUUGAACAACCCCGAUCCUGUCUUAUCUUGGAAACUAAGCAGGGUCGGGCCUAGUUAGUACUUGGAUAAGAGACCACCUAGGAAGACCAGGGUUGUAGGCA